UUGGGUUCCUUGAUCCAUCGAUGAUCAACGAGGUUAGUUUACGAUAGAGCUUCAACGACGUAGUUGAAUAUGUGAACCGGUGUUUAUAGGCCCACCAAGACAAGGAGUACAUCAUGUGCGCACACAACCAACAGCAACAUUGGGUUCUGUUAGUCAUCAUACCUAAAUGGAAUAGGGUCGCCUAUCUUAACUCCAAUAAGGCCAAAGAGUAUGAUUUCACUAAAAUCAUCAAGGCAUUAAAUUUGGCUUGGGGCCCAUAUGUGGCAAAGGGUGGUAGGCACAAGGAGGGCAAGAACGAGUUGUAUCAUGACACCAAGUUCGCAUGCGCACAACAGAUCGGAGACCAAUGUGGUUUCCAUGUGUGCCACAACAUGUCGACACUUCUAUGAGCGGUGAAAGAUUUCGACCCUAAGAAAGGUAAAGCUGGCAUGAAGAUUGUACCCAUCAACCCCCCGCUAUCAGAGGAGAAGUGUGCGGCUUCAUUAAUCCUUGCUAAAAUAAUGAACAAGAAAGGACGUUUCCACGC